rnacentral:rRNA from 1 species
GAUGAACGCUGGCGGCGUGCCUAAUACAUGCAAGUCGAACGAAGAGCUUUUGUAGUAAUACAGAGGUUUCUUAGUGGCGAACGGGUGAGUAACGCGUUGGUGACCUACCCCAAAGUGUGGGAUAACAGUCCGAAAGGAUUGCUAAUACCUCAUGUGGCCUUCGGAAUUAGAAACCGAUUCUAAGGAGUAAUCCGCUUUGGGAGGGGCCUGCGUCCCAUCAGCUAGUUGGUAGGGUAAUGGCCUACCAAGGCAUCGACGGGUAAGGGGCCUGAGAGGGUGACCCCUCACAAUGGAACUGAAACACGGUCCAUACACCUACGGGAGGCUG